UAGGGAAUCUCCCACAAUGGGCGAAAGCCUGAUGGAGCAACGCCGCGUGUGUGAUGAAGGGUUUCGGCUCGUAAAACACUGUUGUAAGAGAAGAAUGACAUUGAGAGUAACUGUUCAAUGUGUGACGGUAUCUUACCAGAAAGGAACGGCUAAAUACGUGCCAA
rnacentral:rRNA from 1 species